AUUUCUAGAAUUGAGUAGAAUUACGGAGUGAAAAUGUUGAAACUUCAAGGGGUAACCU
rnacentral:sRNA from 1 species